UAUUGAAUGACAAGCAAAACUCAUCUUUGUAAAUUACUAUUCACGUCUGAGAAAGCCCUAGACCCUCAUUGCUCACUAAACUCUGGAAUUCAUCAUCAAGAGAGUUACUCGUCCUUCAGAUUCUUCUCCCAGCAUUGGAGUUAUUCUGCACCAGUAGUGUUGCUCUUUACCAUAUAUUGUGGAGUCAUUUCUGGAGAAUGGUAUAAGCAAAAGUGAGGCUGCAUAAGUUUUGAAGACUCGAAUUAACAAGUCAAGAAGCUAGUUAUGAAGACCACAUGACGAGUUGGUUAUCAUUUCGUGAUGGAUGCAUACGAAAUAUUCGCUACAGAUAGUUCUAUCCUUUUGUGUGAAAGGGUUUGUAUAUUAUUGAUGUAUAAUGCUACCAUUGGGAUGUGAAUUCAUAUUUUUAGUUAUGUAUAUAUACCAAAGCAGAUUGCAAUUG